AGAAGGCUUUCAUUCAUUUGAUAUUGGGUGUGGGUUUUUUUGCUAGACCUGAUACAUGUAUAUAUAUCACUACAAACUAUCCAGCUUUCUCACUUUGUCAACUCGUUGACUGCAGGAAUAUUGCAAAUUAAAUUUAGCUAGGAUGACUGUGCACACAGUCAUAUUCAUUGGUGCAGUGGUCAUAACCAUUCUACCACUGAUCACCGCUACCUUGCCUACCGUCAGAGAAUGGCUGCCAGAGCACGACAACACUGACACCAGUAUUAUGCUGUCCAAGAAAAGCAGAAACCCCGCCCAACAAAGUGCGAUGACCGAGUACGCCAGACAAUGGACCUGUCAUUCAAUGGUGAGCUGGAGGGACUUGGGGUCUGGCCACUAUCCUCAAUUCAUUCAAGAGUAUCGCUGCACCGCUGGGCCUUGCUGGUACGGACAUUUUUCGUGUGUACCUCAACAUUACACAAUCAAAGUCCUGUCAAAUCGGUGGAACGAGACUGACAAUACAGUCUCAUCAAUCCCUGGAUUUCGCCAUUGGAGAUUAAUUAGUAUUAGAGCAGUUGUAGGCUGUGUCUGCAGGGUUCAGUGAAAUCUUACACAUGUAAUCAGGGUUUAAACUUUUCUCAAACUAAAUCAGCAAUGCACACCUCCUAUACAAUUUCAAAUUUAAGUGCCCAAUCAUAGGCUUAUAAUAGCUCACAACUCACAUACAUAGGCUUAAUAGCCCACAACUCACAUACAUAGGCUUAAUAGCUUGCAACUCACAUACAUAGGCUUAAUAGCUUACAACUCACAUAUAUAGGCUUAAUAGCUCGCAACUCACAUACAUAGGUUUAAUAGCUCACAACUCACAUACAUAGGUUUAAUAGCUCGCAACUCACAUACAUAGGUGCUAGCCCACAACUCAUUAAUAGCUCGCAACUCACAUACAUAGGCUUAAUAGCUUGCAACUCACAUACAUAGGCUUAAUAGCUCACAACUCACAUACAUAGGUUUAAUAGCUUACAACUCACAUAUAUAGGCUUAAUAGCUCGCAACUCACAUACAUAGGUGCUAGUCCACAACUUACAUACAUACAUAGGCUUAAUAGCUCGCAAAUCACAUACAUAGGUGCUAGCCCACAACUCAUUAAUAGCUCACAACUCACAUACAUAGGCUUAAUAGCUCACAACUCACAUACAUAGGUUUAAUAGCUCACAACUCACAUACAUAGGCUUAAUAGCUCACAACUCACAUACAUAGGUUUAAUAGCUCGCAACUCACAUACAUAGGUUUAAUAGCUCACAACUCACAUACAUAGGCUUAAUAGCUCACAACUCACAUACAUACAUAGGUUUAAUAGCUCACAACUCACAUACAUACAUAGGUUUAAUAGCUCACAACUCACAUACAUACAUAGGCUUAAUAGCUCACAACUCACAUACAUACAUAGGCUUAAUAGCUCACAACUCACAUACAUAGGCUUAAUAGCUCACAACUCACAUACAUAGGCUUAAUAGCUUGCAACUCACAUACAUAGGUUUAAUAGCUCACAACUCACAUACAUAGGUUUAAUAGCCCACAACUCACAUACAUAGGUUUAAUAGCUCACAACUCACAUACAUAGGUUUAAUAGCUCACAACUCACAUACAUAGGUUUAAUAGCUCACAACUCACAUACAUAGGUUUAAUAACUCACAACUCACAUACAUAGGUUUAAUAGCUCACAACUCACAUACAUAGGUUUAAUAGCUCACAACUCACAUACAUAGGUUUAAUAGCUCACAACUCACAUACAUAGGCUUAAUAGCUCGCAACUCACAUACAUAGGUUUAAUAGCUCACAACUCACAUACAUAGGUUUAAUAGCUCACAACUCACAUACAUAGGCUUAAUAGCUCACAACUCACAUACAUAGGUGGUAACUACAGAGUUUGUACAGCUUGCUGGUUCUUGGGAUUUGACAAAAAUAAUCACUGCCUAACAAUGACAUAUGAACAGUAGCUGGUAAUACUGACAUAAAACGUGACAAACUGAAAGCGACAUCUUGAAGAAUUCAAUAUUACCAUGUGGGUGAGCAAGUUAAGUGAUUUUAUAAACAUACAAGAUAUUUUAGUACUUUGAUGAGGUGGCAAUUUAAGUGCCAAGUUUAAACCCUGAAACUAAUCACUCCUAUUCAGUAUGUCUGACAUAUAAAGUAUGUACAUACAA